GAAGUCCCCAUCGGGCAAAGCUUAACCAGCAGCCCGUACCGAGUGUUGCGCGACUCGCGGAGCCAGAUACUUGGCGAACAACAGUCGUGAAGCGUACACAGGGAACACUGUAGGCCGCAGGGGGCGUAUCUCCCCCAGGUGAUUCAGCCCCGUUAGGAGCAAACAAAGCAGUUGGCGACGGUUUUAACGUGCCGGAAGCCUGUACGAAGGAAUCGUUAUGGUGAGAUUCUGGAGGGACUGUCGGGGUCCGAGAGCG
rfam:Desulfobacterales bacterium CG2_30_60_27 cg2_3.0_scaffold_2250_c, whole genome shotgun sequence.